rnacentral:piRNA from 1 species
UGGAGGGGUCAGAUCCAUCUGUGCAAGCC